AUCCCACAACUGCAAUGGAAGCCUGCUCCUUGCAGUCACCAACUGUAACCACCGUACCCUCCUCUUUAUCCCAUAAUGGGUUUAAAGACAACCCUUUUCUGCGUGGUCAGCUCCUCAAGGUUUCCAAUUCCAAGAGGUACCCAAAUGUCAAAAAGCUUGGAUUGCUUCGUAUCAAGGCUCAAGCUUCAGGCAUGAAGAAUUCCAGCUCAGAGAGUGUUGAGGAGGUUAGGGGAAGAGUAGGUCUGAAAGAUGCAAAUGUGGUAUUUGUCGCUGGUGCUACUGGUAAAGUUGGUUCACGAGCAGUAAGGGAGCUUCUGAAACUUGGGUUUCAAGUCAGAGCUGGUGUCAGGAGUGCUCAGAGGGCAGCCACCCUUGUGCAAAGUGUUAAGCAAAUGAAAUUUGAUGUUGAAAGUGCAGGCCAAGGAAGCCAACCUGUAGAAAAGCUUGAAAUUGUGGAGUGCGAUUUAGAGAAAGAAGAUCAGAUUGGACCAGCAUUGGGUAGCGCAUCUGUAGUCUUGUGCUGCAUUGGUGCUAGCGAGAAGGAGAUUUUUGAUAUUACCGGACCAUAUCGAAUUGACUAUAUGGCUACUAAAAAUCUUAUAGAGGCAGCAACUGUUGCAAAAGUUAACCACUUCAUAUUGCUCACAUCUCUGGGAACAAACAAGGUCGGAUUUCCUGCAGCUAUUCUUAAUUUAUUUUGGGGUGUCCUGAUUUGGAAAAGAAAGGCAGAAGAGGCACUGAUAGCCAGUGGACUUCCCUACACUAUAGUGAGACCUGGUGGAAUGGAACGUCCCACUGAUGCUUUCAAGGAAACUCAUAAUAUUACUCUCGCAAGGGAAGAUACUUUAUUUGGUGGUCUAGUGUCGAACUUGCAGGUAGCAGAGCUAAUGGCAAGCAUUGCCAAAAAUCCUGGCCUUUCUUACUUCAAAGUACUUGAAGUAGUUGCCGAAACAACUGCUCCAUUGACUCCUCUGGAGAAACUUUUGGCAAAGAUACCAUCUCAAAGGGCUUACUCACCAAAGGAAUUUGGUGGUGGUGGUGAUGCUGCUGCUGCUUCUGCACCAAAAUCUUCUCAGAGUAUCACAUCUGAGAAACCAAGCACUCCCAUUGAGAAAGAACCGGCUAAAGAAGUGCCAGUGAAACACGCAUCAUCACCAUAUAUUGCCUAUGAAGAUUUAAAGCCACCAACAUCUCCUACGCCUUCAGCACCGAAGGCCACCCCUUCUCAGGAAGAUUCAAAAGUUAUUUCAGAGGAGCAAACCAACAAUGCCGUGUCUUCUGCUUCUGUUAAUGAGAAAAGCUCUCCCUCACAAGAAGUGCUAAUAACACAGCCUCUUUCUCCUUAUUUUGUUUAUGAGGAUUUCAAGCCACCUACUUCUCCAAGACCUACACCAAAUGGUCCCAAACAAAUUCCUUCAGAUGCCUCUGCAUUGGUAGAAGUUGCCUCCACACCAGUAGAAGUUGUAUCACAAACAAGUGGAGGUAACGGUGUGGUAGAGGCAAUCACUAGCAGUGUUGCUGAAAAGGUUUCUCCUCAGAAAUCAACUCAUAGUCAUUCACCUUACCAUGUUUAUGAGGAUUUCAAGCCACCUAGUUCUCCAUGCCCAACGCCUGCUGGUCCCAAGAAAAUAGAGCCCUCAGCGCCGGUAGAAGUCGUGUCACAAUCAAGUGGAGGGAGUGAUGCCACUGCAAGUAUUUGUGUUUCUCCCCAGAACUCCACUCAUAGUCAUUCACCCUACCAUGCGUAUGACGACUUCAAGCCCCCUUCAUCACCAUCUCCUAGUCCUCCAACCACAUCACUCCUUUCAACACCCACUGCAGGUAUGAGGACCUGAAGCCUCCAGCAUUGUCCAUAUAUAUACCAUCCAUAUGAAUAUUCUAGUCCCAUCAAUUUUUUACAAGCAACAGAAAAUCACCAAUAACACUCCUGCGCUUUCGUCGAUUGGAUUGGGUGCUUGCUGGGUUGCUUGGGUAGCUUGGUGGCUCUCCUUCACCGGAAGUCACUAUGUCCUCCACUCCGUGUGGCGUUUCCUUGAUUGUGCUCUUCCCUUCUCGUCCGUCUCCUUUUCUCCUACGUUUUCGGCAUUCGGAUUUGGUGGGUGCUCGGCUGCCUUGGUGGCUUGGUGGUGCCACUUCCUAUUUGCCGGAAGUCGUUGUUUAUGUCUUCCUUGGGCCCUCUGAUUGAGCUAGUUUCGACGAUUGCCGUGGUCUACGUCCAAGCGCAAAAGGAUUAUUGGUUCUCAAUUGUGACAGAAAACCAACCUACUCGGAUGUAAUACGCAUAGUUACUAGGGUUAGUCAUGAUUGUGAUUAUUAUUAUCUGUUUCUGUUUAUUUUCUUGUGUCUUUGCCCGUUUCUAUGUGUUCCGUCUUUCUAUCUUAGCAAUUUUCUCUGUUAAAAUUGUGUGUUCCAGUGUAUUGCGUUACUCCCAGAUCCAAACUCGU